GAUGGAACAGCCAAAAUGCACCAAAAUACACCCAAAUUACACCUGAACACACCUGAACACACCCGAAAUACACCUGAACCACAUGGGUAAGGAUGGAACAGCCAAAAUGCACCAAAAUACACCCGAAAUACACCUGAACACACCCGAAAUACACCUGAAUACACCCGAAAUACACCUGAACCACAUGGGUAAGGAUGGAAUGUGUAAAAUACACCUGAACCCACCCAAAAUGCACCUGAACACACCCAAAUUACACCUGAAUACACCCAAAUUACACCCAAAAUACACCUGAAUGACAUGGGUAAGGAUGGAACAGCCAAAUUACACGUGAACACACCCAAAAUACACCUAGAUACACCCAAAUUACACCUAAAUUACACCUGGGGGCACCCAAAUUACACCUGAACCACCACAUGGGUAAGGAUGGAACGUGUAAAAUGCACCUGAACACACCCAAAAUGGAGCUAAAUACACCCAAAAUGGAGCUAAAUGCACCCAAAAUACACCUGAACCACAUGGGUAAGGAUGGAACAGCCAAAAUGCACCUGAACACACCCAAAUUACACCUGAACACACCUAGAUACACCCAAAUUACACCUGAACCACAUGGGUAAGGAUGGAACACACAAAAUACACCUGUACACACAGUUACACGCCUGUAUCUCACCUGGACACACAGUUACACACCUGUACACACCUGUACACACAGUUACACACCUGUAUCUCACCUGUUCACACCUGUUACCUGUCGCACAGGUGGAGGGUUCGAGGAGUGGCGCGGCGGCCGCGGGGGCUUUGACCGGGGCGGGUUGGGCACACCUGUACACACCUGUGCACACAGUUACACGCCUGUACACACAGUUACACACCUGUGCACACAGUUACACACCUGUGCACACCUGUACACACAGUUACACACCUGUAUCUCACCUGUAUCACACCUGUACAGGUGGAGGGUUCGAGGCCGGCCUGGCGGCUGGGUUGCGGGUUCGGGGCGCGGCGACCGCGGCGGCUUCAGGGGCGGCCGAGGGGGAGACCGCGACCGGGGCGGCUUCGGGCCCGGCAAGAUGGACAGCAGGGGCGACCACCGGCAGGACCGACGCGAGCGGCCGUACUGAGCCCCUCCCCCACCGCCCCUCCCCCACCCCCCGUUUUGUAUUUGCCGCCCCCUCCCCCCCCCUCCCCCCGCGCCCCUCCCCCCGCGGGCUCCUCCCCCCCGCUUUUAACCCGCCCCUCCCCCCCAAUAAAGGGAUUUUGGGGAAGGAUUCGGGGCCUCUUCUGAUUGGAUGGGGAUGGGA
rnacentral:lncRNA from 1 species